ACAAUAAUUAUGGGAAGAUGGAUAAAGACAAAGUUGUUUUUCAAUUUGUAUCGUUGAUGAAAUCUCCGAAACCCAAUUCCCAUCGGCCGCCAAUCCUCAGGAAGACUGGAAUGUCAACAGCGUUCGUAAUCGUUUCUUGAAUUGAAAGCACCCAGUAACUCAAAAAGAAAGAUCCACACUAGUUGAUUUUGGCACCAUGAGAAGUGAUGAAUCCUAGAAGGAUUUGGAGUUUAUGUUGAAAUGGUACAUAGGAGAAAUUUGUUUGCCUGGAUCCAGAUUAUUAUUAUUAUAAGAUGCAACUAAUGUCGUCAAAUGACAGUGGAAGAGAAGGCAGUUCAGAAACAGAACCCAUCUUAAAUGAGUGUAAGAGUGUGGAAAGCUGUUCAUCUACAUUUGAAAUAAGAAGUGAUUGUUCAAUAGCGGUUGUUGAGGAGGAUUCACAAAGUCCGGAUUUCAAUGAAAAUAGCAGCCUGGUUGCUUCAGACCAACCCCAGUGCCGCAUAUGCCUGGAUACUGAAGGAGAAGACUUGAUUGCACCAUGCCAUUGUAGAGGCACCCAAAAAUAUGUCCACAGGUCAUGUCUUGACAAUUGGAGGUCUGCCAGGGAGGGGUUUGCUUUCUCUCACUGCACAGAAUGUAAGGCAGUGUUUAUACUACGUGCAAAUGUCCCACCUGAUCGCUGGUGGUUGAGGUUGAAAUUUCAGUUACUGGUUGCAAGAGACCAUGCAUUCAUUUUCAUCAUUGUCCAACUGAUUGUGGCCUUCUUAGGUGUCUUGGUCUACAAAUUUUAUGGAGAUGAACUGAGAGAAAUGUUUGGAUAUGAAGAACACCCAUAUGGGUUUUACACCAUGGCUGUGUUAGCAAUUGUGUUGGUGGGGUUGCUCUAUGGUUUCUUUAUAGCCAUCAUCUGUGGACAGCGAAUCAACGAACGCCACUAUCACAUUCUUGCCAAACAGGAACUCACAAAGGAGUACAUUGUAGAAGACAGAGAAGUGAACAAUGAUGUUGCUGAACUUGACCCCAGCCAUGUGACAGAGCUAAGAAUUUUACCUUGAAGAGCCCAAGAAGUGUAAAAGGAGCAUGGGUUUUUGUGUGAAUAUCUUUCGCUUGUCCACUUUGGAGAUAUGUGGUAUUUGAGGAGUGAAGCUGUUGCAUUGAGCAAAGUAUUUUUAUUCCAUAUAGACUGGCUUGCUGGCUGAUGAUUGGCUUUGAGUUUCUACUUGGAGAUAAUUAUCUUGUGUUGUAAAUGUACUUUUUUACACGUACAGAUGAUUCAUUGAUCCCGUAUAUGUAUAUGGAUGUAAGCUUGACAUCCAUUAUAUAAAGAUACAAGAUUAACCCUUGCUUUUA